UUGUCAUACGAUGAUCGCGUGUCUUCUGUUUGUUCCCCCUUCCCUUUACUACGUCGUUUCAGUCAACGGUCGAACAUUGAGUAGACACCACGGUUUACAGUGUCUCUUUGCUAUAUUACAAAAACGAUUUAAGUCCGAUAUUGUAAAAUAUUUCUUCUCAAAACCUACCGCCGUAUAAUCUCUCGAUUAAGAAACUCACAAGUCGAUUCCUGUGAUCUGAAUAUGGUGGCUUCUAGCUUAUAAAGUCUGUUUGCACGUGACCGAACUGCCCGCGCGCGGUAGUAUAAAAUCUACUCUAGGUUUUGCGUGGAAAACUUUUGAAUGUAUCAUUCGCUCGUCUCCUAACAUCCCUUAAUGUGAGUAUUAGUUGUGUGAAAGUGAUGUGAAGUUUUUUUUAAAUCUGUGAGCUAGUCGACAGCCUAUUUGAUAAUCCCCACCACUACCACACAGCGAAGUCAACGGAAUCCUGGAACGUUGAAAGAUGCGGGACACUUUGGACACCGAUGGGGCUUUUCUUCCGCGUGUUGCUCGAGGUGCCUUCGGAGUAACAUGAGUCUGAAAACUAAGGUUGACCUAUGGUGGAAUUGGCUGCUGAGACAUCCUCAACCUGU